GUGAGGUCACGACUAUUCAGUCACUGGUUGGUCUGCCAGAUGACAGCAGAUUCAUGUGCAAGCCCAGCAGAGGUCAGCCAAGCUGACUCAAACCAGAGGAACAAGCUGAUCACAGAAAUCAGGAGCAGAAUGAAUACUUGCAGGUGUAUUCUACCAAGGGAGGACACCAAAUGCCACCCAAGAUGAAUGGAACAGAAGGGGAUGGAACCAUGGAUGAGGCUGACAGGGAACCAAGGAGGUGAAAACUUUUCAGAAAGGUUUUGCUUUCCUGAUUAAAGGGACAGAUUGCUGGAGCUCUUCCUUCCUCCUUCUUUCUCCUUGGACACAGAUGUGGCAUCUGGAGCUGCAGCAACCAUUUUGCAUUUAUUAGGUAAUAAAUAUGACUAGGCAAAGCAAGCCUGCUAAGGCUAGUGGAACAGAAAGAUUAAAA
rnacentral:lncRNA from 1 species